UACGAAGGGGGCUAGCGUUGCUCGGAAUUACUGGGCGUAAAGCGCACGUAGGCGGAUUGUUAAGUCUUGCGUGAAAUCUCGGGGCUCAACCCCGAGCGGUCGUGAGAAACUGGCAGGCUAGAGCGCGGGAGAGGAGAGUGGAAUUCCUGGUGUAGCGGUGAAAUGCGCAGAUAUCAGGAAGAACACCCGUGGCGAAGGCGGUUCUCUGGAACGCAAUUGACGCUGAGACGCGAAAGCGUGGGGAGCAAACAGG
rnacentral:rRNA from 1 species